CCUACGGGAGGCAGCAGUGAGGAAUAUUGGUCAAUGGGCGGGAGCCUGAACCAGCCAAGCCGCGUGAGGGAAGAAGGUUCAGCGUAUCGUAAACCUCUUUUGUCAGGGAACAAAUGCGGGGACUAGUCGCCGGAUGAGGGUACCAGAAGAAAAAGCAUCGGCUAACUCGGUGCCAGCAGCCGCGGUAAUACGGAGGAUGCGAGCGUUAUCCGGAUUUAUUGGGUUUAAAGGGUGAGUAGGGGGGCAAUUAAGCUGGCGUUCAAAUGUCGGGGUUCAACCCCGGCCUGCAGUCGGAACUGGGUGCCUUGAGUGGGCGAGAGGUAUGCGGAAUGCGUGGUGUAGCGGUGAAAUGCAUAGAUAUGACGAAGAACCCCGAUUGCGAAGGCAGCUUGCUGCAGCGGAACUGACGCUGAUGCUCGAAAGCGCGGGUAUCGAACAGGAUUAGAUACCCGAGUAGUC
rnacentral:rRNA from 1 species